GCUGGCGUCACCUCAGCCCGUUUCAAGCAGCGCUUUGAGGCGGACCUGGCGCACCUUGAUCCGUCCUCGCAGAUGGAAAAACCGAACAUGUUUUGAGUUCUUCGCCGGAAUCCCGUUGAGUGAGAGGCCAGGUGUAGCUUGAGUGUAACCACUCAAGUUGUUGUCACGUAAUGUGCACUGCCUUGGUCAUUUUACUUGACGCAGCCAGACGGCUGCCCAACAGCCCAGGUCAUAGUUAUUCGAGGUAAUUUGAGUCAACUCUGGAGGAAUGGUCGCCCCCCCCUGGUCUAGUCCUCCCCCCGGCUUCCUGCUUCUGCCUUAAUGGCUUGUAUAUUCUGGAGAACAGCAUUCGUAGAGACCGGCUGGCAGAGAUUCUGGAACGACGGGGAAAGGAAUACAAGAAACACCAUGCCAGGAACGCAUCGCCACUAGUACCAGGGGCAUUGGAUUCAGAUGAGAAAGGGGAUAAGCUCGAGUUUGAAUACACUCCUCUUAGCUCCAUCCAACUCUCCACUGCAGUAUCCCAUUCAGGGUUUCACAGUUCGCCCCAUGGUCCCCACUCUCAUUCCAGGUAUCACUAAAUGGUGCCAAAGGUGUGCUCCGUCUAGGGACCCCAAGUGAAGCAGAGUGUCGAAGGUGAUUUACGAACCCCAUCAUUUUUUACAUUGCUCCAAUGUGUAACUUAAGUACUUGUGAUUGGGAUUGACUUGUAUGAAACCUAAUUUGUGAGAAAAAAAAACUAGGUGGUGGGAAGAAUCUGCUGAUCUUGGAGACAGAGAGCUUAGAGGAACUCAAC
rnacentral:lncRNA from 1 species